CACCUUUGCAUUCUUGAGAAUGAGAAACACCGCCUCAUAUAAAAGAGGAAAUGAUUGGUUUCAUAUUUCAUGUUAGUAUAUCUAGAGGAACCAGGCAGCAGCUCUCAGCAGAUUCUAACUUUACAGCAAAGAUGAAGAUGUAUUCAUCUGUCACGUUCGCCCAAGUCGGCACCUUUGUCUCAAUCAUUGUUGUUUUUAUCUACAAGGUUGUGAUUGACAGGAAUUACGAGUGUGAUUGUGAUGGUAGCGGUUAUGACUGUAUUUUGUACAUGGGUGUACCAUCUAUAGUUUUAUUUGUGUUACAACUCUGGACGAUCAAGAAAUGGAGACGUACAGGAAAGGCAUGCAGUCAUAAUGAUUGUGAUGAUGAUUUUAAAUACAUAUGUAACCAGCUUCUCAAGGCAGUUGUAGUUGGUCUGCUGUGGGUUAUCUCUCUGUUAAUUGAUGGAGACUGGGCUGUUUGCUAUCACCACAAAGACUUAGCCUGCAAAGACAAAGCCAAAUUCAACUCUACUGAACACGAGACCCUCGCCAAUGUGAAAUCAAAAUCAGAGUACGUUGGCUGGAGUCUCAUCUUGGUUAUCCUUGGUGUGGUUUCGGUAAUGAGAUGGUUCUCAUGCUGUAGGGAUCCAAACUACAGCAAACUGUAUGAGAAACUGAAGUUGAAACAGGAGGAAUGUGUGCUGAAACAGAUAGCAACGGAAGAUUUGAAAGAAGAACUCACACUAAAUUGGGUAGAAGAAAGAUCAGACGUACUAGUCGAAGCAGCAGCCAGCGCAGCAGACAGAGCAGCCAGAAGAGCCACAGAUGCCAGAACAGUCAGAACAGCCGGAGUAGACGCAGCAGCCGAAGGAAGAAACCUAGACGAAGUCAACGCAGCCAGAGCAGACGCAGCAGACACAGCCGCAGCCGGAGCAGCAGUCAGAGUAGCAGCCAGAGGAGACAUAGACCGACAGAUCGCUUUUUUAUCAGGAAACAAGGUGACUAAGUUUUUGGAAAGGCUGAAUCAAGGUCCAUCAGCUGAUCCUCAGGUGAGUCUCAGGCUAUCAGGAGAUGAGGAGGGAGGGGGGACCUGAGUCUUCCAACCCCAGGACACCAGGGGGGGGAGGACCUUCCACCACCAUGACAUCAGUUGGUCUAUCUAUCUCUCUAUCUCUGUCUCUCUGUCUAUCUCUCCAUCUAUCUCUCGAUCUCUCUCUCUCUCUCUCUCUAUCUAUCUCUCUCUAUCUCUAUCUAUAUCGCUCUCUAUCUAUCUCUCUAUCUACCUCUCUAUCCAUCUGUCUCAGAUUCCUCAGCCGAGCCGUAGAGAUGAUCUUCUACGGUCACAUUUCUAACUCAACCUACUGUUGAGAAAUGUUAUAUUGAGUUUUAAUCUGAUUACUAGUGAUGAUUAUCUUUUUUAUUGUUGCUUUUAUUUGUAAUAUUUAACCCUCAUGUUGACCUCGGGUCAAAUUUGAACCCAUUUUCUAAAAGAUUCUAAGUAAAAUAGCUUUGCUCUCUGUUUAAUGUUUGUUAAUUAAAUGACAUCAGUUUAUUUUGACCUGAGGAUAUCCUGGCUAAUAUUUGACAUAUACCAGUCUUUUAUAAUCCAAAACAACUCAUAAUUUCUCCUUUAUUUAGAUAUUAGGUCUAUGUAAAUGGCUUGUAUUGACCAUGAAUGGAAACCAAAGUGUAAAACUAGUUGGAAUGAAUUUGGCUAAAGGUGUAACACAGAUUAUUUUGGUUAUAAAUUAAACUUUUCUGUGAUUUAUAAAUAAGCAAACCGGAGCAGAGAGGAAAACACGAGGGUAAAAGAAAUGUUUCUAUUUUCUGAUUUCUAUUUUCUGUUAGAAUAUCUUUCAGCUCAGCAGGUGUGAUGAUUAUAUUUACACUUUAAUCAUAUUAGUUUGCUUCAGCUUUUAUUGUUACAGCUUGAACUGAGAGCUGAAGUUAGCGUGCUGACAUUCAGAGUUUGAUCUGUAUUUCAUUCUUUUAAUAAACUGAUCAGAUUCCCA